AGGGUUUGAUCAUGGCUCAGAACGUACGCUGGCGGCACGCCUAACACAUGCAAGUCGAACGAAGUAGCAAUACUUAGUGGCAGACGGGUGAGUAACAUGUAGGUAUCUACCCUUUGGCCUGGAAUAACACGAGGAAACUUGUGCUAAUACCGGAUAAGUCUUUACGGAGAAAGCUUUAUGCACCAUUGGAUGAGCCUGCAUUUGAUUAGUUUGUUGGUAGGGUAAUGGCUUACCAAGACUGUGAUCAAUAGCUGAUUUGAGAGGAUGAUCAGCCACAUUGGGACUGAGACACGGCCCAAACUCCUACGGGAGGCAGCAGUGGGGAAUCUUGCACAAUGGAGGAAACUCUGAUGCAGCGAUGCCGCGUGAGUGAAGAAGGCCUUUGGGUUGUAAAGCUCUUUCGUCGGGGAAGAAAAUGACUGUACCCGAAUAAGAAGGUCCGGCUAACUUCGUGCCAGCAGCCGCGGUAAUACGAAGGGACCUAGCGUAGUUCGGAAUUACUGGGCUUAAAGAGUUCGUAGGUGGUUGAAAAAGUUGGUGGUGAAAUCCCAGAGCUUAACUCUGGAACUGCCAUCAAAACUUUUCAGCUAGAGUUUGAUAGAGGAAAGCAGAAUUUCUAGUGUAGAGGUGAAAUUCGUAGAUAUUAGAAAGAAUACCAAUUGCGAAGGCAGCUUUCUGGAUCAUUACUGACACUGAGGAACGAAAGCAUGGGUAGCGAAGAGGAUUAGAUACCCUCGUAGUCCAUGCCGUAAACGAUGUGUGUUAGACGUUGGAAAUUUAUUUUCAGUGUCGCAGCGAAAGCGAUAAACACACCGCCUGGGGAGUACGACCGCAAGGUUAAAACUCAAAUGAAUUGACGGGGACCCGCACAAGUAGUGGAGCAUGUGGUUUAAUUCGAAGAUACGCGCAGAACCUUACCAACACUUGACAUGUUCGUCGCGACUUUAAGAGAUUAAAGUUUUCGGUUCGGCCGGACGAAACACAGGUGCUGCAUGGCUGUCGUCAGCUCGUGUCGUGAGAUGUUGGGUUAAGUCCCGCAACGAGCGCAACCCUCACUUUUAGUUGCCAUCAUUAAGUUGGGCACUCUGAAAGAACUGCCAGUGAUAAGCUGGAGGAAGGUGGGGAUGACGUCAAGUCCUCAUGGCCCUUACGUGUUGGGCUACACACGUGCUACAAUGAUAUUUACAAAAGGAAGCAAAACGGCGACGUUUAGCAAAUCCUAAAAAAAUAUCUCAGUUCGGAUUGCACUCUGCAACUCGAGUGCAUGAAGCUGGAAUUACUAGUAAUCGUGGAUCAGCGUGCCACGGUGAAUGCGUUCCCGGGUCUUGUACACACCGCCCGUCACACCAUGGGAGUUGGUUCUACCUUAAGGCAAGGUUUAAAACCCUUGACCACGGUAUAGUCAGCGACUGGGGUGAAGUCGUAACAAGGUAGCCGUA
rnacentral:rRNA from 1 species